rnacentral:rRNA from 1 species
ACUUUAACACUGAGGCGUGAUGACGAGGCACUACGGUGCUGAAGCAACAAAUGCCCUGCUUCCAGGAAAAGCCUCUAAGCAUCAGGUAACAUCAAAUCGUACCCCAAACCGACACAGGUGGUCAGGUAGAGAAUACCAAGGCGCUUGAGAGAACUCGGGUGAAGGAACUAGGCAAAAUGGUGCCGUAACUUCGGGAGAAGGCACGCUGACACGUAGGUGAAGUGAUUUACUCAUGGAGCUGAAGUCAGUCGAAG